CCUACGGGAGGCAGCAGUAGGGAAUCUUCCACAAUGGGCGAAAGCCUGAUGGAGCAACGCCGCGUGGGUGAAGAAGGUCUUCGGAUCGUAAAACCCUGUUGUUAGAGAAGAAAGUGCGUGAGAGUAACUGUUCACGUUUCGACGGUAUCUAACCAGAAAGCCACGGCUAACUACGUGCCAGCAGCCGCGGUAAUACGUAGGUGGCAAGCGUUAUCCGGAUUGAUUGGGCGUAAAGGGAACGCAGGCGGUCUUUUAAGUCUGAUGUGAAAGCCUUCGGCUUAACCGGGGUAGUGCAUUGGAUACUGGGAAACUUGAGUGCAGAAGAGGAGAGUGGAACGCCAUGUGUAGCGGUGAAAUGCGUAGAGAUAUGGAAGAACACCAGUGGCGAAAGCGGCUCUCUGGUCUGUAACUGACGCUGAGGUUCGAAAGCGUGGGUAGCAAACAGGAUUAGAUACCCUUGUAGUC
rnacentral:rRNA from 1 species